AAAUUCAGUUGUCAUUUCAUCGCAGCUCUGUAAUGGAGAGCUUACGAAUUUCCUCGUCGUAUCUGCUUGCUUCGAAAUCGCUGAUUAACAGUUCUUCAACUGCGUUCUCCCCUCGACAUUGCUACAGCUUAAAUUCGAAAAGAAUUGGUGCGCGCAGAAUUGCAUGUGAUUAUUCCUGCUUCGAACCAUUAAUGAAAGAUUCCGAUUCCCCUGUCCCCUAUCAGAUAAAGAGCGUCACUUAUCGACCUCCGGGAACUGAGGUUGAUCUUUUGAACGGAGUCAGCUUCUCCUUACCUGAGAAAAGUUUUGGUCUGAUCUUUGGACGAAGUGGAAGUGGGAAAACAACACUUUUGCAGCUGAUUGCAGGACUAAGUAAACCAACAUCAGGCUCAAUCUAUGUUCAAAGAUAUGGUGAAGAUGGUAAUCCAAAUCAAUGUCCCAAACUGUUGCAACCCAGAAGAGUUGGUAUAGUUUUCCAGUUUCCGGAAAGGUUUUUCAUUGCAGACAAUAUUCUUGAUGAAAUUAUAUUUGGGUGGCCAAGACAAAGAGCUGGCCUGCAAUUGAGAGAGAUUCUUGCUUCAAGGCUCCAAAAAGCUAUGACCUCGGUUGGGCUAACUGGAAUCCCUUUGGACAAAGAUCCCCAAUCACUGAGUGGUGGAUACAAACGUCGGCUUGCUCUAGCAAUUCAGUUGGUUCAAACCCCAGACCUAUUAGUACUGGACGAGCCUCUUGCUGGUCUAGAUUGGAAGGCCCGUGCAGAUGUGGUUAAAUUGUUGAGAGACCUGAAGAAGGAGCUGGCGUUGCUUGUUGUCAGCCAUGACCUUAAAGAGUUGGCACCUCUAGUAGAUCAGUCAUGGAGGAUGGAAAUGGGUGGGAUACUGAGGAGAGAAUGCCUGCCUAUUUAAUUAUGUGCCUUCACUUUCUAAUCAACUAAUGUUGCUGUAAUUAAGGUACGACAAUGGAGGUUCUAAUUCUGUGCAUAGUCUCAUUUCAAGCAUAUUCAAAUUAACUGGAAAAUAUAGAUGUGCAAUGUAAGUGGUCUUCAUAGUAGUUCCCCUGAUGAUCACCUCGUACCAAACCAGAAUCUUUUGAAACCUUUGACAUGCAAACGAGAAUGGUAAUGGAGAUCUCAAAUAUGAUACUAUCAUUCUACGCUUUCUAGACAAUGUAAUAAUCACACAAGCACUCAAUGCAUUGAACAUAAUAGCUUUUAGUACAAACAUUUAUUGUUUUCGAGAACUGAAUUUUACUUGUAAAGUAGAACAGGAUACAAAUAGCGUUACCAUCUGCUACCAUAGCACUUCACUGUAGAUCAAACUGGCUAGGAGAAACAUACAUAACCGAGCAAACUCCACACAUGACAGUCGCUAUUGGAUAAAGUCGCAAACAUACAUACCCGAGCAAGCUCCACGCAUGAUAGUCGAAUAAACGAGGAUGCCCACCUUGAUUUUAGUGUUUCGCCCCCUACAGCUCCAGGACCACGUCUUGUAAUUUAGAUGCCCAAGACAGGAAAAGAAAAGAGUCAGGGACAAGAACAGAAACAUCCAGUAGAAAUUCUUGGCCACAUGAAUAUUUUUAAGAAGUCCAUUUGGCAAUUACAUGCUGAAGAGAGUGUGUAACGCUAGACAGCUGUGUGAUUGUAAACUACUGUUCUGUUCCAUCAAAAAAAUAUUUUUCAGCUGUUAACCACAACCAUGCACUGCCCAUACUCAAUGUAUAAAGGUACAUAUCCUUUAUUUGUUGUUA